AACAAACGCUGGCGGCGUGUCUUAAGCAUGCAAGUUGAGCGGCAAGGAGGAGAGAUCCUCCCUAGAGCGGCGGACUGGUGAGUAACGCGUGGGUAAUCUAUCGUAGGCAUGGGGAUAGUCACUAGAAAUAGUGGGUAAUACCGAAUACGUUCCAUGAGGGGAGUACUUAUGGAAGAAAGGGUGCUAUGGCACUGGCCUUAGGUGAGCUCGCGUCCCAUUAGCUAGUUGGUGAGGUAAAGGCCCACCAAGGCGAUGAUGGGUAGCCGGCCUGAGAGGGUGUACGGCCACACUGGGACUGAGAUACGGCCCAGACUCCUACGGGAGGCAGCAGCUAAGAAUAUUCCGCAAUGGACGAAAGUCUGACGGAGCGACGCCGCGUGGAUGAAGAAGGCCGAAAGGUUGUAAAGUUCUUUUGCUAGGGGAGAAUAAGUGAGGAGGGAAUGCCCUCAUGAUGACAAGGACUAGCGAAUAAGCCCCGGCCAACUACGUGCCAGC
rnacentral:rRNA from 1 species